UGGAGACGGCGGGUGAUCGCCCGGCGGGGGUUCCCGCCGGGAGGAAAGUCCGGGCUCCGCAGGGCAGGGUGGUCCGUAACUCGGACCGGGGGCGACCCCAGGGAAAGUGCCACAGAAAGCAGACCGCCCCGCCGCCGGCGGGGUAAGGGUGAAACGGUGAGGUAAGAGCUCACCAGCCGCGGUGGCGACACCGCGGGCUCGGCAAACCCCACCCGGAGCAAGAUCACGUAGGGAAGCGUUCGAGGGUGGCCCGCCCGAGGCUUCCGGGUAGAUCGCCAGAGGUGCCGGGCAACCGGCAUCCCCAGAUGAAUGAUCACCACCCCGGCCCGGCCGGGGGGACAGAACCCGGCUUACAGCCGUCUCCAUCGG
rnacentral:RNase_P_RNA from 1 species